rnacentral:rRNA from 1 species
ACUCAAAUGAAUUGACGGGGACCCGCACAAGCGGUGGAGCGUGUUCUUUAAUUCGAAGGUAAGCGAAGAACCUUACCAGGGUUUGACAUCCUCAGAAUUUCUCCGAAAGGAGAGAGUGCUUUAUUGAACUGAGUGACAGGUGUUGCAUGGCCGUCGUCAGCUCGUGUCGUGAGAUGUUUGGUUAAGUCCAUUAACGAGCGCAACCCUUAUGUUUAGUUGAAUUUUUCUAAACAGACUGCCCCGGCAACGGGGAGGAAGGAGGGGAUGAUGUCAGGUCAGUAUUACCCUUACAUCCUGGGCUAGAAACACGCUACAAUGGCCGGUACAAAGGGCUGCCAAGUCGCAAGACGGAGCAAAUCCCAUCAAAGCCGGUCCCAGUUCGGAUAAGAGGCUGAAACUCGCCUCUUUGAAGUCGGAAUCGCUAGUAACGGUAGGUCAGCACACUACCGUGAAUACGUUCCCGGGUCUUGUACACACCGCCCGU